GCAGAACCUUAUCCGUGGAUCAGUUUGGC
rnacentral:piRNA from 1 species